GUUACAUUAAGUUGUCAUGUUCUUUCGCUUUGUUAGUAAGAUCUGUUUCAUUUUGUGUUUCAAUGCAUAGUGCAGGGAGAGUUGUUUACGAAGAGGCAUAAGACAGAGGAAGAAGGGAUGGGAAAGGAAGAGAAUUCUUGAGCUGCACACGGACCCACAUUGUGAUCAGGGGACAGAGCUGACUCACACGGAAGAGGCGUGAUCCAUGGUACAACUAAACAAUGUGCUGGAGAUGCCUACUGCUACAGGAAUUCAGAAAACAGCAAUAUCAGUGAGGACUGGAGUUGAGAGGCAGGCUCCAGAGCUUCGGAGAAGGGAGCUGAUCCCUGAGGGAGGGGCAGAUUUGAACAGGAAAUAAGGGAGAAAGAAGGGCAUUGCAGAAAACUUCCUGCCAGGAUACAGUUACUUGCUGAACGACAAGUAGGAGAUGAGCUGCCUCAUACACGUUCUUUGAAAGUGUUGAGUGUUGAUGAUAAAGGUCAUGACUGAAGACUAACAAGGCCACAUUGUGAGUUGUUCUUCCUGGACCUCCAAGGGGGCAGAAGUCAUGCAUAUCUUGUUCACCACUGAAUCCCCAUUGCUCAGAAUGGUUCCUGGCACACAAUGAACUGAUGAAUGAAUGGCAGAUGGAUGGAGAAGAUGUUAUUGACUCACCUGCAUGGAGUUCUCUUUCUUUUGAUGAAUGGCAAAAAAACUAUAAGCUGCUGGACUGGAAUGAGAGGUGCAGAGACCUCUUCCACAUCAAACUCAACUAGCAAGUCCCUAAUUUUGCUCUCCAAUUCUUUUAGUUGCUAGAUUAUUUUCAUCUCCUACCACUCCCUACUCAUACCCAGCUUCCCAGCCAAAGUGAGCUAUUGGCCAUCCUCAGAAUGAACACACUCCUCAUGCCUCUAUGGUUUGCCCCCUCC